rnacentral:rRNA from 1 species
UACGGAGGGUGCAAGCGUUAUCCGGAUUCACUGGGUUUAAAGGGUGCGUAGGUGGGCAGGUAAGUCAGUGGUGAAAUCUCCGGGCUUAACCCGGAAACUGCCGUUGAUACUAUCUGUCUUGAAUAUAGUGGAGGUGAGCGGAAUAUGUCAUGUAGCGGUGAAAUGCUUAGAUAUGACAUAGAACACCGAUUGCGAAGGCAGCUAACUACGGGAUGAUUGACACUGAUGCACGAAAGCGUGGGGAUCAAACAGG